AAAACCCCAAGAAUGUGAUUCCCCGUUUCCGAUGGCAGCGUUGGUCUCCUCCGUCUCACCGGCGGCGCUCGCGGCCCGCCUCGCCCCCCGUCGAGCGUGGAUUAUGGACAGGUGGUCGAUCCGUGGUCCUCUACUUGUGGCAGCCACUGCUGCCUUCUCCGCAGGUGGAGGGAGCGGCGAGGAGAAGCGGCGGCGGCUCGUGCUCUAUAAGAAGCCCGGUUGUUGCCUCUGCGACGGCCUCGAGGAGAAGCUUCACGCUGCCCUCUCCCUCGCCGGAGGCCCACACUCCCUCCCUUCGGUCGACCUCCAGGUGAGGGAUAUCACGGGGAAUCCUGAAUGGGAGAUGCUUUACCAGUACGAGAUUCCAGUCUUGGCCAAGGUUCUUCCUGACGGAACCGAGGUGCACAUCUCCUACGGAUUCUCAUUAUUUUAUUGUUUGCUAAAAUGUGGCUGAUGUGCAGUCUUAUUGGCAAUAUGGGAUCCUGUGCGAAAUUUUCAAUCCAUUUAGUUGUAUAGCCAGUUUUUAAAAUGCAAUCUAUCAUGUUUUGGAUUAACUGUUUGAGCUUUACAGAGUAUAUUUGGAAAUUUAGAAUUGUUUCGUUAAAUUUUCUGUUUUCCUUGUUUAAUUGUUUUUGUGCUUGUUUGUUGUAAACUUGAAGUUUGUAAGUAUGGUUGAGCUUGAGUUUGCCAAUUUAUCUAGGUGUUGCUUAACUUGUGAUCCAUGCUACAUCUCUAGUAAGGUUCAAAUACAGCUUAGAAAGAGCAUACUAUUUAGCUGUUCAUCAUGUAUCACUGACGCUUCUGGAUAGUAGUACUUUACAUCAGAAUUUUUUUUUUGGCUAAAGAAUAUUUUUUUCUGGAUGGUAAAAAAUUAAAAAACAAUUAGAAGAUUCUGGGAAUUUGGUGGGAACAUGCAAAUCCUACGAGUGAACAUGUUUUACAAAGCAAUAUUUCUAUGUCAAUCUCAGUUGUGUCGUAAACACCAUAACAAACCUUUUUCUUCAUCAAUGGACCGUUUGUUGCUUAUAUUUGCUUGUAUAGUUGUUUGACAACAUGCUUUAUAUUGUUUUUAUGUAUUUUUGCAUGGUUUUCAUAAGCAAAAGUAGUUUGCGAGGCUGCAUAGUGAUUGCUCAUCAGACUAGGCAAAACUACCCCAAAAUUGCCUCGUUUUCACAUGCUAUGGCUUGUUUUUUGCUGGCUACGGUGUAGUAUAAAACAUCAGCCAUCUCAGACCCCUAGAAUCACCUAGGUGGCACAGGGUUGGAUGGGGCUUUGGGGUAUCAUUUGAUGCUGUCUAGAUAAACAUGUUUGCAUGCAAAGUGUGUGGACUUGCCUUACACCUAAACACUCGGUUGAGCGAUCGUUUGUGGACUUCCGGCUAUUUUUUUACCUUCUAAAGUCCUUGUUUUCCCUUCUUCUCUUUUCUCUCUUGCACAUUAAGUGUUUGUUAAAUUACUUAUAAGGUGUCCUCUGUUGCGAGACGUUGGGACUUCACCACUUACUUUCUGAACUAAUCAACUUUCUCUUUUACACUCUUCGAAACUUAUGCAAGAUUGCUUUUAAGCUAACCCUUACAACUAAGUGUGCCUCACAACUUAGAUAAUUCCAACUAAGUGUGUGAUACUUAAGUUGGGCAGACAUUUGUGAUUGUUAGGUGCCAUGAUCCCGACCGGAUUGACUUAAGGCUGUAUGACUUCCAUGUUCUGAUCGAGGGUACUCUUCUUCUAUAGGGGUUGUAUCUUUUCUUUUAUAGCCUUUAUCAUAUCCCAUGCUCAUUUUUUUUUUCCACACAUACACAAAAGUUGACAUACUUUCCACAUAACAUUUCAGAAUAGUCUAUAUUUAAUUCAGAUUUCAAAUAUAUCAUAAAUAACAAAGUUUAGCAUUAAAGAAAAUAAAGCCAUACUGGCUACUACUAAAACUACAAAAACUAAAGUCCUCCUGUAACACCCUACUUCUACUCUCACCCAUACCCUAUAUACAUGACUAAAGUAGGAUGUUAUUUUCUAGUUCUUUUACCACUAUCAACAAGAGUGUAGCCAAUCUUAAAGUAAAACAUUCUAAUUUACUAAACAAAAUGACAAAGUUUCUGUAAUCAUCGAUAAUUUCUCCCUUAACAUAAAUUAAUUACUAUAAAUAAUGUAUUACUUUAUUGUUAACUUCCAUGUUCAUGUAGUAUGGUUAAGGAAAUUAUUAAAAUUAAUUUUUUAAUCAUGUGGAUAAGUUAGAAAUUUUAAAAAUCAAUUAAAUUAUUAAUUGAUUUAUUUCUUAAUAGGUGAUGUGAUUUUAAAAAAAUAAAUGGUAUAUAUUUCAUUUUCAUGUGUGAACUAUAAGAAAUGAAUAUUAUAUUUCUAUCUUGUGUGAAAGCAAAAUAAAAAUAAAUUUAAAAUAAAAAUUAAAUAUUUACUUACCUUUCGAGGAGAUCGCAUCUUCCAUCUUCUCCUAUAUAAAGGGGGCUCCUCUUCUCUCAAUUUUCACUGAGAACAAUAGGACGAUUGAGGAGAGGAUUUUCUAAGGAGAGGAUCAUGAGGAGAGGAUAGUCGAGGAGAGGUAGGAUCCUGUAUUCUUUUCUAAUUAGUUUUGAUUCAUGUUUUGAAAUCCUUAAUAUUAAAAUUGUUAUGAUUUUAUGAUGCAUAAUAAUGUUUUAAUUUUAAAAUUUUAUGAUUAAUAAGUAAUGAGAAUUAAUUUAUGAUGUUAGAAUGAUUAUUUGAUUUAUAAUGGUCUUUUAAGCUUAAGUGAAUUUCAAGAUUGAUUUAAUUAUCAAAACUCUUAUUUUUGGAUUAACAUAAUAGUUUUGAUCAAGGUUUGCGAUUUCGAAUCAUUCCGCUUGUGAAUCGGUACGCGGACUGCCUGCUAUCGGGCGGUUCACUUAAUAUACCCCUGUAUCGGAUGAUACAGGGAAGUUUUGGGCUGUAAUGAUUAAAAUUUCGUUCAUUACCCACCUACUAUCGGGUAAUUCUAGACUAGUCUAGGGUAAUUCUAGACCGGUUCUAUAAGGAUUUAAGGUUGGUUCCGUUAGGUCAUAAUCUAAUUGAGUUUGGUUUAAGUCAAUUGAGCUAUUCCAAUUAAGGUUUUGGUUGAUCGAGCACUAUUGAGAGAUUUAUGUUUUAUGUCUUUAUGAUUUGAUGAACUAUUAUGGUCUCUCGUAAUAUUUGAUCAUACUGAUUUUUUGGAUGCACGCGUGAAUGAAUGAAUGAAUGUAAAUGAAUGAUCAAGGAUGUUUAUAUAUCCCUGCCGAGGGCAGGUAUGGUGAUUCCCUUCGGGGAUUAGUGGGUCGUCAAACGUGAUGGUUAAAGGGUUCCUCUAUCUACUGUUGGGAGGAACGUGUUCCCACUUGGGCGGGUGAGGGAUACCACUCCAUCCAUUGUUGGAAGUGCGAUAUGGGUUAUCUUUAUCCGCCGUUGGGAGGAAUCCAUCCAGUGGAGUAUGCCUCUCCAUCCGCUGUUGAGAGAGUGCACUAUCGGGAAACACUUCCGCGGUUAUCCCCUCGUCUCGCGGUGAAGCUUAUUCAGAAAAAAAUCGCCGCUGCAUUUGAAAGCUGAGAAAUUUUCUCUGUUCCUUGGAGGUUGUGACCCGUAUACAAGAAUGCACAAAGGGUGUCCAAUUUGUUUGUCCUUGAAUAAUGCUUCUCAAUUGCUGCUGUUAUGUUGCUGUUAUGCUUAUCUACUUUUGGAUUUUUUUGUAAUUGGUAGGCUGUCAAUGUUCGUCUUUUGUUUGUUUGUUUGUUUUUUUUUUUGCUGUAUAUAGCGCGUGAAAUUUUCUCAUUUUAUUUCUUAUUUACAGACCAAAGAUAAUAAUACUUCCGAAACAGCUUUGUAGA